rnacentral:rRNA from 1 species
AGAGUUUGAUCCUGGCUCAGAUUGAACGCUGGCGGCGUGCCUAACACAUGCAAGUCGAGCGGUAACAGGUGUAGCAAUACAUGCUGACGAGCGGCGAACGGGUGAGUAAUGCUUCGGAAUCUACCCAGUAGUGGGGAAUAACCAGCCGAAAGGUUGGCUAAUACCGCAUACGUCCUACGGGAGAAAGCGGGGGAUCGCAAGACCUCGCGCUAUCGGAUGAGCCGAAGCCGGAUUAGCUAGUUGGUAGGGUAACGGCCUACCAAGGCGACGAUCCGUAGCUGGUCUGAGAGGACGACCAGCCACACUGGGACUGAGACACGGCCCAGACUCCUACGGGAGGCAGCAGUGGGGAAUAUUGGACAAUGGGGGAAACCCUGAUCCAGCGACGCCGCGUGUGUGAAGAAGGCCUGCGGGUUGUAAAGCACUUUUAGUGGGGAUGAAAAGCCCGGGGAUAACACCUCCGGGUCUUGACCUAACCCACAGAAAAAGCACCGGCUAACUCUGUGCCAGCAGCCGCGGUAAUACAGAGGGUGCGAGCGUUAAUCGGAAUUACUGGGCGUAAAGCGUGCGUAGACGGUCGUGUAAGUCGGGUGUGAAAGCCCCGGGCUCAACCUGGGAAUUGCAUUCGAGACUGCAUGGCUAGGGUGCGGAAGAGGGAAGCGGAAUUUCCGGUGUAGCGGUGAAAUGCGUAGAUAUCGGAAGGAACACCAGUGGCGAAAGCGGCUUCCUGGUCCGACACCGACGUUCAGGCACGAAAGCGUGGGGAGCAAACAGGAUUAGAUACCCCGGUAGUCC